AGGACGAACGCUGGCGGCGUGCUUAACACAUGCAAGUCGAACGGUAAGGCCUUUCGGGGUACACGAGUGGCGAACGGGUGAGUAACACGUGGGUGAUCUGCCCUGCACUUUGGGAUAAGCCUGGGAAACUGGGUCUAAUACCGAAUAUGACCAUUGGUUGCAUGACUGGUGGUGGAAAGCUUUUGCGGUGUGGGAUGGGCCCGCGGCCUAUCAGCUUGUUGGUGGGGUUAAGGCCUACCAAGGCGACGACGGGUAGCCGGCCUGAGAGGGUGUCCGGCCACACUGGGACUGAGAUACGGCCCAGACUCCUACGGGAGGCAGCAGUGGGGAAUAUUGCACAAUGGGCGCAAGCCUGAUGCAGCGACGCCGCGUGAGGGACGACGGCCUUCGGGUUGUAAACCGUCUUUCAGUAGGGACGAAGCGCAAGUGACGGUACCUACAGAAGAAGGACCGGCCAACUACGUGUCAGCAGCCGC
rnacentral:rRNA from 1 species